rnacentral:lncRNA from 1 species
UGGGCUUCAAAGAACCAGUAGAAGAGUGCUUUCUCGUCUUGUGGCCGGAGUUUCACGUACCCUGCGUAGUGCCGGAACUCCACCGCCGGCUGUCCCGGCAAAUCCUUAACUCUGUCUUUCUCUUGCUGUAAUUCCUCCGCUCCGGCCACCGAGGCAGCCGCCGUCAUCGCCUGUAGAACCAGACAGAAGAUCAGCCAGUUGCAGAGAGAAGACGCCAUUGAAACCAUUCUCCGUGCUCGCAGCCCUUCUCUCAGUCUACUUUAUAGACGAACAGCAGAGACAAUGAAGCACUAAUAAAGUUUCAUUUUAUUUUUUUUAAAUUCAUAAAAGUAACUGUAAAAACUGAAUUUUAUUGCUCCACUACUUCACUUACAAAAUUUUUCUAUCCCAACUUAUGUUUAUGGCAUUGAAGAAUGAACGAAGACACAACUCACAAGAAUUAUAAUUAAUAUUUUAUAAAUUUAAAUUAGAAUGAAAAAUUAUGAUUUUUUUUAAGUCUUGUUUGGGUAUCUUUUAGCACUAGAAUAAAUUAUUUUCUAUUUCAAAAAUAUUUUUGUUAAAAAAAAAGGAUAAUUAUGCAAUUUUAAAAUAUUUUAAUUAAAUAAAAAUCAGAUUUCCGCAUCUAAAUUAUGGAUUCUGAUUGAAAGUUGUAUUUAAACACUCCUAAAUUGCACUUGAACUUUAAAACAAUGCUUGUGGUUUUUUAAAAGCUCUUCCAAGUACAAAAUUAAUAUUAAUUUUUUUGGUCUUUUUCCUUUAUUUAUUGAAAAAAAAAGUGAAGUGAAUGUAAAAUUUGAAACGACUUUGUGUAAAUGGAUAUUGGAUAAACCCAUAAUAUAUUUUUAUUAUUAAUUAAAGUCCCAUUUAAUAGUGAUUUUAUAAAAUAUUUUUAAUUUUUCUAAUGCUUUAAGUUUUUUAUUAUUUAAGUAUUAAAAAUAUUUUAUAAAAUCAUUUUCAAAUGCACAGGAGAAUAAAAGGAGGGCAAGUGGAACCAAAGUAAGUAAAUUGAAUGAUAUAAUAUUUUAUUGGUCACAAGAUUUGUACAAAUGUUUUGGCUUUUUAAGACAGGGUUGCCAAUAGGAGCCUUCUCGUUUCGGAUUGUGGAUUAAUCCCACUUUUUUGAGUACCCAAAAAAUUAGGAAUCGUGUCAUCUUUUUGGGCAUUCAAAAUAGGGAAAAAGAAUAAGAAAAAAAGAAGGAAGGUCCAUUUUUUUGAGUGGUUUUUUUUUUGAUGUUGCAAAAUGAAAAAAAGAAAAAGAAAAAAAAAAGUUAGAGUCUACAAUUUAUUUUUUAAAAAAAUGGAUAGAGGGAAAAUGUUUUGUUUUUAAAUUUGAUUUAUCCAUAUUUUAAAAUUAUAAUAAAAUUAUGUUUUUUUAUUGGAAAUAUUUAUAAUAGUGUUUUAAGAAUAUAGUUGAUUGUACAAAAAUAUUUUUACUUCUUCAAUAAUUGAAAUGUAGGAGUUAAAAUAACAAAGGCUAAGUUUAAUACAAAAAAAUUUUGAAAUAAAUUUAUAGAUUAAGCUAAUUUUUAGAAAACAUUUCUAAUCUAAAAAUGAUUAAAAUAGUCCAUUUGGUGAUGAUUAUAAGAAGCGUUUUUAAGUUAAAAUGUGUUUUUGAAAAAAAAAAAAUGAGUGUUUGAUAAAAUUAAGGAAACAGAAAAAUGUUGAAAAGUCAAUUGUAAUGUUUUAUAGAAAAACACGUUAUAUAUGAUUUUCUAAAAAAAAAAUCAUUAAAAACACUUUGAGUAUAAAUACUAUCAAAUGCAAAAUGUUGGAUACAAUUUUAAAAAGUUAAAAAAUCACUUAUAUUUUUUAAGAAAUAUUUGAUAGGUGAUUAUUCAAAAAACAUUUAUAAUUUUUACUAAAAGUGCUUAAAAUAAAUUACUAUCAAUACUUGUAGAAAAUCCUUAUAGUUUAGAAAAUAUUUUUGAAUAAAAAAGAGAUAUUAAAUAAGAUUUAGAAAUUAAUUUUAAAAAAAUUAAAAAAUUCGCUUAUAGUAGUUUAUAAAAAACACUUAGAAAUGUGACUUUCCAAAAAUGUACUCUUAGAAAAUAAAUUUUUUACUAAAAACACUUCAAAUGAAAAUAAUGUUUAAAACGAGUUCAAAUUAAAAUAAUAUUUAAAAUGCGUUUGAUAAUGAUUUUAAUAAUAUUUUUAACCUUUUUGAUGUUGAAAAAUAAAAAUUUUCCAAGUGUAAAAAUUGCUAAAAACACUUUUUAAAAGCACCUUCAAAUGCAAUAAACACUCUAAAAGUGAUUUCAAUUUUAAAUUUCUUUUAAAGUAUUUUGUUUAUGAUUAUGACGUUAGUGACUCACAAAUAAAGAAUCUAUGAAUUUGAAUCAUGAUUGAUACUUGUGAGGCAGAGUCUUAACCAGUUAUCAUUUAAUGAAUUUAAAUCCAUGAUUGAUGGUUGUGAGGCAAAGUGUUAGCCAAUUCUACUUAACAUUUAAUGAAUUUGAAUCCCUCAACAAAGUCUUAGCCAAUUUGUCAUCUUUAAGAGAAAUCGUGUGAAUUAAUUCAAUACAUUUCUUUUCAAAAAUAGAAAUCUCACAACCCAAAAAUAUACUCCUAGAAAAUAUAUUUUUACUAAAAAUACUUCAAAUUAAAAUAAUGUUUAAAAUAUGUUUGACUUUAAUUUUAAGAAAUAUUUUUAAUCUUUAUAAUAUUAAAAGAUAAAAAAUUUCAAGUAUUAAAAAGAGUAAAAAUACUUCUUAAAAUCAUUUUCAAAUAGACACUCUAAAGUCAUUUCAAUUUUAUUUUUUUUGUAAUAUUUUGUUCAUGAUUACACAUCAGUGACCCACAAUAUAAAGAAUCUACUUAUCAUUUAAUGAAUUUGAAUCCAUAAUCGAUGGUGUUAAUGCAAAGUCUUAGUCAAUUUGUCAUUUUUGAGAAAACCGUGUGAAUUAAUUCAAUACAUCUUUUUCAAAAAUAGAAAUCUCACAACCAAAAUAUUCUCUUAGAAAAUACAUUUUUACUAAAAACACUUCAAAUUAAAAUAAUUUUUAAAAUAUGCUUGACAAUAAUUUUAAGAAAUAUUUAUAGUUUUUCUAAUAAUAAAAGAUAAAAAAUUUCAAAUAUUAAAAAAAAUAUUAAAAACAUUUCUUAAAAUCACUUUCAAACACACUAAACACUUUAGAGUCAUUUCAAUUUAAAAAAUUUUCUUUUAAAGUAUUUUGUUCAUGAUUAUGACAUCAGUGACCCACAAUAUAAAGAAUCUACUUAUCAUUUAAUGAAUUUGAAUCCAUAAUCUAUGGUUGCGAGGCAAAGUCUUAGUCAAUUUGUGAUUUUUGAGAGAAUUGUGUGAAUUAAAUCAAUACAUCUUUUUCAAAAAAAUUAAAAUUAAAAAAAAACUAAAAACAUUUCUUAAAAUCACUUUCAAAUGCACUAAACACUUUAGAGUCAUUUCAAUUUAAAAAAUUUUCUUUUAAAGUAUUUUGUUCAUGAUUAUAACAUCAAUGACCCACAAUAUAAAGAAUCUACUUAUCAUUUAAUGAAUUUGAAUCCAUAAUCUAUGGUUGUGAGGCAAAGUCUUAGGUGGUGUUUGUUUUUUUACUUAAUUCUAAAUAUAACCUUAAUACUUAAUAGUGUUAAAUAUUAAGUUGUUUAUUUUUAUAAUAUUUUAUUUUUAUUAAGUAUUAAAAAGUAAAGAAAAACCAAUAUGUUAUUUUUUCUAUUUAGAAAAAGUUACAUAUUUUGGAUUUUUUUAUUUAGUAAAAAUUUUAUAAUAAGUUAUGAAAAAGUAGAUAAACAAACAACCUAAAUUUUGAAAACAAUUUGUUUUCAGCAAAAAGCAAAAAAAAAAACAAACACCACCUUAGUCAAUUUGUCAUUUUUGAGAAAAUUGUGUGAAUUAAUUAGUACAUUUUUUUCAAAAAAAAAAAAGACUAAAAAUAUUUUUAAAAAUCACUUUCAAGCACAAAACACUUUAGAGUCAUUUCAAUUUUAAAUUUUUUCUUUUAAAGUAUUUUGUUCAUGAUUAUGACAUCACUGACUCACAAUAUAAAGAAUCUACUUAUCAUUUAAUGAAUUUGAAUUUAUGAUUGAUGGUUGUGAGGCAAAGUCUUAGCCAAUUUGUGAUUUUUGAGGGAUCCAUGUGAAUUAAUUUAGUACAUCUUUUUCAAAAAUUAUAAAAAUUUCAUAAUAAGUUAUGAAAAAAUAGAUAAACAAAUUACUUUAAGCAAAAAGCCAAAAAAACAAACACCAUCUUAGUCAAUUUGUCAUUUUUGAGAAAAUCGUGUGAAUUAAUUAGUACAUUUUUUUCAAAAAAAAAAAAAGACUAAAAAUAUUUUUUAAAAUCACUUUCAAAUGCACAAAACACUUUAGAGUCAUUUCAAUUUUAAAUUUUUUCUUUUAAAGUAUUUUGUUCAUGAUUAUGACAUCAAUGACCCACAAUAUAAAGAAUGUACUUAUCAUUUAAUGAAUUUGAAUUGAUGAUUGACGGUUGUGAGGUAAAGUCUUAGCCAAUUUGUCAUUUUUAAGAGAACCGUAUGAAUUAAUUCAGUACAUCUUUUUUAAAAAUUAUAAAAAUUUUAUAAUAAGUUAUGAAAAAGUAGAAAAACAAACAACUUAAAUUCUGAAAACAAACCGCUUUUAACAAAAAGCCAAAAAAACAAACACUAUCUUAGUCAAUUUGUCAUUUUUGAGAGAAUCGUGUGAAUUAAUUCAGUACAUCCUUUUCAAAAAAAAAAAAAAAGAAUAAAAAUAUUUUUUAAAAUCACUUUCAAACGCACAAAACACUUUAGAGUCAUUUCAAUUUUAAAUUUUUUCUUUUAAAGCAUUUUGUUCAUGAUUAUGACAUGAGUGACCCACAAUAUAAAGAAUAUACUUAUCAUUUAAUGAAUUUGAAUUGAUGAUUGAUGGUUGUGAGGCAAAGUCUUAGUCAAUUUGUCAUUUUUUAGAAAACUGUGUGAAUUAAUUCAGUACAUCUUUUUCAAAAAUUAUAAAAAUUUUAUAAUAAGUUAUGAAAAAGUAGAAAAACAAAUAAUCUAAAUUCUGAAAAUAAAUUGCUUUUAGCAAAAAGCCAAAAAAAACAAACACCACCUUAGUCAAUUUGUCAUUUUUAAGAGAAUCGUGUGAAUUAAUUCAGUACAUCUUUUUUUUAAAAAAAGACUAAAAAUAUUUUUUAAAAUCACUUUCAAAUGCACAAAACACUGUAGAGUCAUUUCAAUUUUAAAUUUUUUCUUUUAAAGUAUUUUGUUCAUGAUUAUGACAUUAGUAACCCACAAUAUAAAUAAUUUACUUAUCAUUUAAUGAAAUUGAAUUCAUGAUUGAUGGUUGUGAGGUAGAGUCUUAGCCAAUUUGUCAUUUUUGAGACAACCCUAUAAAUUAAUUCAAUACAUCUUUUUCAAAAAUAGAAAUCUUCUCGCCAAAAAUAUACUCCUAGAAAAUAUAUUUUUACUAGAAACACUUUAAAUUAAAAUAAUAUUUAAAAUGUAUUUAACAAUAAUUUUAAGAAAUAUUUUUUCUCUUUUUAAUACCGAAAGAUAAAAAAUUUCAAAAAUAACUGUCAAAUACACUAGAUACUCUAAAGUCAUUUCAAUUUUAAAGUUUUUCUUUUUAGAGUGUUAUUUUCAUAAUUACUACGUCAAAAAUCUACUUAUCAUUUAAUUAAUUUGAAUCCAUGAUGUAUGGUUGUGACACAAAUUCCUAGUCAACCGUGUGAUAUUAGAUACAUCUUCUUCAAAAAUAAGAAUCUCGCCGCCAGACCCGGCUAUGGGCCGUGGAACUUGCAAGCUAGUCAAGAGUCAUGCUCUCCGCCCAACAAGUCCUUUCAUAAAAAGUUAAAAAAAAAAAAAAAAAAACAUAUUUUUGAGGAUGGUGCUUUAAAAGGGUAAGAAUAAUUUAUUAAAAAAUUAUUUUUUAUUUUGUGUCAUGUACAAAAUUUUAAAUUAUUUUAUAUAUUUUUGUUUUUUUUUUUACUAAAAAUUUUGUUUUUUUAGAACAAAUUUAUAUAUUUUCUCAUGUGUUUUUUUUUUGUAAAGUUCUUGGAAACACAAAUAAAAAUAUGGACUUUAAUAUUUUUCAUAUAUAUAUAUAUAUAUAUAAUGCGAAGAAUAAUUUGAAAAAAUAGAUUUUACUUUUGAUAUGAAUGAGGAGUAUUUUUCAAAAUAUUUAUCCAUAACUAUUUUUUUAAAUCAUUGUCAACAAUUAAUUUUUAACAAUUAUUUUCAAAAAUCUUGUUUCUUUUUUUAUUCUUUAUUUUCAAAAAUAGUUACUUAGAGCAUGUUUGGCAGUGUAAUUUAAAAAUAAUUUUCGAUUAAGUGUCAUGCCCAAUUAACCCAAAGGUUGUCAGGCCCAACAAUUGGAUGGGCUUGGCCCAUUAAAUUUGGAGCCCAUCUCGAGCCCCAAUUCCAAGUCGGUUUGGGGUCAAAUUGAGAAAUAUUAAGAGUGAAAGGACUUUUAUAUAUACAAAAAUAAAAGAAAUUUUAAUUUCUCACCUUCUUCUCUCUCCGGCUCUAGGUAAAACCCUAUCCCUAAUGUUAGUACUCUUGAGAAAAUUUCUGAAAAAUAGUCAAGUAGUUGUAGGGAUUUUUAUUCGGAUUAAUCAGAUCAGUUUCAAGUGAGUUGAAAGUUUUGUUUUCUCGUCUCCCGAACAGUCAAAGAUCCGCAAAUGGAAAUUUUCUCUUCUUUUCCUAUAAGGCUUUUCAUAUUUGUUUGUGGCAUCGUAUUUGACAUUUGGUGUUGUUUUCCUGUGAAAUUCUCUCGGUUUUUCUCACUGAAACCUACCCUUCGUUUGGAUAUGGAGAGCCGUUUUCUGGUUAGAACGUAGCCACGUCGUUGUUUUGAUUGAAAAUGAUUCGUAUAAGUAGUAUUUCGCUAAUGACAUAUCCCUAUUUAUCACUAAAGCGAUUCUAGGUUUUUUUUUUUUUUUUUUCGUUUGUUUGAUGAUUUCUAGGGUUUCUGGUUCUUGUAUGGUUUUCUCAUGCUUCAUUUAUAAGUUUUUGCAAAUGGAAUUAUCAAAUAUAACUUAGAUUUUUUCGUUUUCCUUUCUGUUUGAGAUCAUAUGUAUGAAUAAUCUGAUAUUCUGAGUGUAUAGUGUUGUCUUUAUUCUUUGUAGAAAAAGAGAAAGAAGCAGAUUCACAUACUCCAUUUGUUCUUAAUGCUUUGUUGAUAGACUAAAUAAUUUAGUUGACUUUGCAUGUUGUUAUGCUUUUAUGUCUUUGAAACUAUAUCUUUUGAUACUGCUCGAUCUAUAGAGAUACCAUGGCAGUAGUCAAGAAAAAGUCUACUGUCUUAUUUAUAACUUGUUUGGAAUAUGGAAUUGCUCAGAUUUAAUAUGUGGGAAUGAAAAUUCGGGUUUAGCUUUAUUUCUUUGUCUCAACAACAACUGAUAGAAUUAUUACCAAGGUUUGAAAUAAUAUUGGAGAAAUAUCAAUGAAUAUUUUGACAAAAAUAUCGAUCUUGUCCAAAAUUAAUGAAAAUGCUUAAAAAACUUUCAAAAAAAUGAUAAAAUAAAGACGCAUUCACAUAUUAAAGUUAUUUUUAUAUGUAAUUGAUAUAAGUAUGAUUAAAAAUAUUAUUUAUCAAAUUUUAUAAAAAAAUUAGCUUAAAUUCCUUUAAUAUAUUCAAAUUCAGUUAUUUAAAAAUUUUAAAAAUACUUUUAUUGAAACUUGUUUUAUGACAUUUUAAAUAAAAAAUUAAAUUAAUUUAUAUAAAAUAUUUUAUUUGAGAUUUAAUUUCCAAAAUUUUAUUAUGGUGACAACCUAUUGUGGCAAUUUUUUAAAAUAGGAUUAAUGAGAUAAAUUAUGAUACAUAUAUGAUUUUUUUUUUUAAAUAUUUAUAUUUUUUAUAUUUAAUUAUCAUAUAAAUGAUAUAAAAAACUUGUUAAGAAAAUUAUAAUGAUUGCUUUAUAUUUUUAGUAAUCAAUUAAAUAAAAAUUAAAAUAAAAUAAUUAGAAUUAAUUUAUUUAUUAGAAUUUUGUUUUAAUAAGGAACUUUGAUAUAGUAAUAUGCAUGCCUAUUAACAAGGGCAAACUUGUCCCAGUGGUGGCCAUGCUGAAGUUCAAGUCUUUUGGCCAGGGUUUGAACCCCACGCUGCAGUGACAGUGAAAAAAUAAUUUUGAGGGGAGCUGUAGAACGAAAUAUCAGGAAAUUUCUUGAAAAAUCGGCAAAAAAGCUGAUAAAUGCCGGCGAUAACUUCAAAAAAAUAGCAAAAUUUCUCCCAACCAACUGAUAACCGAAAUAUCGGGGAAAUUUCACCGAUAAAAAUCGAACAUUUUAAACACUGAUUGUUACUUUAGUGUUUGGGCUAAGGUUAUCUUAUGUGAAAUUUGUUAUUGUCAGGUAUUGUGUGUGCUGCCAAUAGUGCCCAUCUGGUGGAAAAACCUAAGAACGUGCAGAUUGUUCUUUGUUAGACCAAAGUGUGCUGACUCGUGUUACUUUUCCUGUUUAUAAGCUCUGUUUUUUUUUUUUUAUUAGGAAUAAUGCUGGGUGCAUUGCCAAUCUUGCCCCUUCCAGCAACUCCCUCAGAUGGGAAUCUUGGCUCUCUUCCCCUAUCUCAGCUGCAGGUUCAGUUGCAACCCACACAGGGACCAUUGGAAUCAUACAUCCUCCUCCAGACAUUAGAAACAUUGUUGACAAGACUGCACGGUUUGUUGCAAAAAAUGGUCCUGAAUUUGAGAAAAGAAUCAUGGCAAAGUUCAGUUAAUUUUAAUUAUAUUUGAUUUUCUUUGGGAUUUUCCAUGGUGAAAUUAAACAUGAGAAAUUCAUUUAUUCAACAUUUUUUUUUCCUUAGUAUUUUCCUGGAACCAAACAUAGCCUUAGUGAAUUUGGUUACAAAUAUAGCUUCCUGUUACUUUUGAUCAUACUUUCCCUUCUAUCUGCAGUUGUGAAGGAUCUGAAGUAUGCUGACUCUCAUGAGUGGGUGAAAAUUGAUGGGAAUUCUGCUAUUGUGGGCAUAACCGACCAUGCUCAAGAUCAUUAAGUGAUGUUGUGUAUGUUGAGUUACCUGAAGCAGGGGCUGCUGUAACCCAGGGCAGCAGUUUUGGUGCAGUUGAAAGCGUGAAGGCCACAAGUGAUAUAAACUCUCCUGUUUCUGGAAAAGUGGUUGAAGUUAAUGAAGAGCUUAACAGCUCACCCGGUUUGCUGAGUCCUCAAAUGCUUGGUUAGUGUUUGUGAUAUUGCUUUCAAAUGAAUUGUUGAUAUUGUUUUAUAAUGAAUUAUUGAUGUUUUGGUAUCAAUUUCUUUUGUUCUUUUAUUUUUCUUAAUUUUGUAUGCAUAUGUGGGGGUGUUGGAUUGAUGACAUUUGUGCCUCAUUGAAUUGGUUCUUGGUGUUGUUUUUGUUAGGAAGAGAACCAAUUUGCACAAGUAAAUUAAAGAUUUUGGCAAACUUCCCAAUAAUGGUUAAGUUUCCCCAUUCAAAGGAGUGAUUUGAAACUCAGAUAAAUGUUGAACUGUUCAGACUGUUAGCCUGCCGCCAUUACCAUUUUUUCAAACUCCUCACUCCCAUCUUCCUUUUCUCUUUUCUGCAGUGUUCGAAUCCGAAAGGUGGCCCUUCCUUUUCUUUUAUUUUGUGCUUGUGUUUUUUCUAAAUUCAAUUUCCCAAACUAUGAUGAUUGGACAAUGGAGCCUAUAUCCAAUUCAAAAAAAUCACACCUCUUAGGUAUUUCAUCAUUUCGUUUUUGCUUGCAUUGAUUUUUGUGCAUUCCACUUCUACGUUCCUAAGGGUCACCCUUUUCUAGUUCCUUAUUUGUGGUUCUAAAACCCCUUUCAAAAUGGUUGGUCAAUAAUGAAAGGAUAAUGAGAUUUGCCCGACUGAUAAGCUCUUUCAGUGCUUCAUCUUGGGUUGUUCAGACAAUUUAUUGGUGCUCACUGGGCACUCCUGGAGGUGAUUGAACCUUUAGACUUGAACCAGUUUCUUUUGUGGGUCGUGAAAACAUUGUUUAGGAAUAACCAAAAGUAGAAAAUUGAGUUAGACUCAAAACUAAAUAAUUUAACAGAAAUUCCUCAUGAUACUGAGAGCUCUGAGCUCAAAUUCUGUAUCAUCAAUUAUACAAAAGAUAUGAUUAUCUCAUUAAACAGGUUUCAACUUGUGCUAAAUUGAUCUUACUUCCACUCUCUUUAGUUUUUAUAUUUGGUUUCUUGAUAUAAACGCAAAAAGGAAAGUGUUUUCCUCAUUAUUUAUAUUUGAUACCCCUUUCUUGAUUCAGGUUAAUGCGAGCCCAUAUGAAAAUGGGUGGAUUAUAAAGGUGGAGAUGAGUGACACCGGUGAAUUAAAUUCUUUGAUGGACUUAGAACAGUACACCAAGUUUUGUGAAGAAGAAGAUGCCAAGCAUUGAGUGAGGUACUCUAGGCAUCUUAUGGAAACUAGAAAGAGGAUUUUCAUGGACGAGUUAUUGUAUCUAAAAGGAAGCCAGAGAGUGGGCUUUGGUUCUUCUUGGCAUUUUUGUCCAUUGUGCUUUCAACUGUGCACUCCUUUUAUGUCUUUCCUUGCAAGCUAUGAAUUCUGGUGAUUUUGAACAGAAUAUUUCUGUCUAGAUUAAGAAUAAUUGUUCAUGUUGUCAUUUGAUCUCCCAUUGGCAUACUAACAAUUUUCGAAUUGAGAAUUUCUUCUUUUUGCUGAAGCCGUAUACCUCUCUGAGAAGUAUUCAAUUUCCUAUUAUCCAUGUGGGUGACUUUAAGUUCUGUUGGGCUUUAAAGCUGUUUGGUCUGUCGAUGGUCCUACUCUCACUAAGAAUAAGUUUUAAUUGUUAGUAUGAAUGGCUGUAAACCUGACAACAAUCUUGUUUCAUUGGGUUUCUAAAUGUCUUAUUUUACUGGCUUUCCAUUUCUUGAUGAAGUCCUUCACCUCUCUGGUAAGUAUUCAAUUUUAUAUCUCCUAUUUGGGCGACCUUAGGUUUUCUUGGGCAUUAAAGCUACUUGGUCUCCCGACGGUUGACUCUCACUAAGAAUAGAUGUAUUCUUUAUAUUUUAUAAUUUGCUUGUAUGAUUGGCUGUAAACCCAAAACCAAUCUAGUUGUAUUUGGUUUCUAAACGAUGUCUUCUAAUGGCUCAUACACCCUCAUCUGGUCAGUGUCUGUUAUCUUACUCUCAUACAGCCUCAUUAUGCUCCUUGUGAAUCAAGCGUCACAAGCAAACGUCUUCAGGCUAUCAAAUGCAUGCUAUGGUACUUUGUAAGGCUUCUUUAGUACUGUAAUUAUUCUUUGGCCUGUCUCUAUAUCAUGUAUGUGUUUUUUAGAUGCCACUUCGAUGCGUACCCUUAUGAUCCCCAACAAUUUAUACACAAGCCUAGCAUUAAGUAUCUUAUCCUGGAAGUCAAGGAACCAGCCUUCAGUCUCUGGUGCAGUUUGUUUGGGAAUUAUACUCUUCAUGUUAAUUUUGCCCUCUCCAAUUGCUUAACUUGCCGAUAUCUGCAAAUAAAUAUUUGUCGGCCUUUUCCCUUUCUUUAGCAUUGCCGUAAAUCCUAAUGGUUUUCCGAGUAGAAAUACCAUAAUCAAUCCACGGCUCUGAUAUCUAGGACCAUUCGGAGACUCAAAUCUUUCCGUAUAGAGUCAGGUGAGUAAUGCUCAUUCCUCCAACCAUUGUAUUGCCAUUUUCUCCUCUACUUUUGCUAGUUUUAAGAGUACAAAUAAGUAACACUAAUCAGGUUUGGCCACAGAAUAGAAACCAAGCCACAUUCUAUUCAUAGGCAUGCAGAAUAGUGAAACUUCACCCUUAUAUGAAGCCAUGUCUUCUAUCAAGCAAAUGUGUAAUUACUGGGACAUGCCUGGAGCGACCGGCAAUUUGUUAGAUAUGCGACUGUUAAUGCAGUGAUACUGUCUGUUGACUCUGUUCUGUGUGUUUAUGCAUGCUUAUGAGGCUCCGGUCUCGUGUGUUUUCUUCCAUUUGGAAUCCAGUGAACUAGUAGGAAAAGGAGUACAAAUGACAGCAUGCACGGGUUAUUUUCUUUUUUAUUGCCUUUUUUUUUUUCUUUUAAAAUUUCUUAGGAUAAAGCCUUAUAAUGCUCAUAAUUCUGCAUUAUGUAAAUAAUUGAAUGUUCUUGGGAUAGGGACAUGAAUCAUAAUAUGAUAAUAAUGUGAUAUAAUUGUCCUAAGGUUGUUGAAGUUGAUAGAAAAAGUAGUAGCAGUCUGAACCUGAGCAGCAACUAGGCUCUGGAAGACGGCAAGUUGGCAGCCGAGAGGAAAUGAGAGAAGAGAGCAAGGGACUGAGCAGGUGCAAGGAUGGGGACCUGGUGACCUGCACCUCUUACGGUUGCUAGUGUAAGGCCACCCUCAUAAGUCACCACCCAACCGGCCACUUGUUUCCUGUGGAACCAUGCCCUCCACCCUUUCUGAAUCCUUAACCCCAUCUUGUUUAUGCUGUACCUUGUUGAUGUCACUGGCACCCUCCCAUCUGUGUCCCCACUGUUUCAUCAUCACCAUCACUAUUUUUGUCAGUGUUAAUGAUACAAAAUAGCUUAUCAUCUUUGUGUCCUGAAUGGAAGAAGCUUUUGUUUAGUAAUGAAAGUCUUAAGACAAAUUUUGAUUAGGUUAUGCUAUUAAUUUGGAGGUCUUUUUGACUCCCUUGGUGUCUGAGUAUAAAAACUGCAAUGAAUGAUGUAAAUAGCAUUACUUGAUAAUGUAACAAUAUAAUAUGAAAAAAAAGACCACACUAAUUGAACUCUAAACUGGCUUUGAUGUUUCUUUUGGGGAAGGGGUGGGGGGUACUUUUAGGAGCAUCAUUUCAACUAUCAAAAUUGCCCUUUCAAUGCCUCCAGCUUCAAUUCAAAUUAGAAAUCGCAUUUAGAAGUGGCGACUUCAUUUUAAAUUGAGAAGCCGUGUAUAGAAACUACGGCAUCAAUUGAAAAUAAGUGGGCUAGAAUGUCACCUACUAGCCAUAAGAGGGAUCCUGAUUGAAAAUUCUUUUUGUUAGGUGUUUUUAUUUUGAUCUGUUAGGCUUUCCUUUUUCUUUUGGGUUUUGGGCUGUAAAAAAUAUACCAAGUAAAAUGUCAAAGGACUUUGUUAGAGGUACGUUCGAGGGUAUUAAAAAAAUCUAAGAAAAAAUGAAGUAGAGUGUAGGACAGUGGUAGUGGGAUCGGCUCCUAGGGCACUGAAUUUCGAGUUUGAGUUUUCUUGAUUUUUAAGUGGUCUAUAUAGGUGGUCCCAUCCCAUGUGACCUGGGAUUUCCUGUAGUUGAGAUAAAUGACUUUUUUUCACUUACAAUCAAAGCAAAUAUGAAAAAAAAAAAAAGGAGCUUUGCUAUGUCAUUUUACCCACAGCUAAGAUAAGAUCAGAAAAUUGGGUGUCUGUAGAGAGUACCAGUAGACCCAAAUGCGCAGACCAGCCUUUAAGAGCUUCUGAAUUGUGGGCAGCAUGGUCUCUGCCGAAUCAUUCCACUUCCUAAUAACAUUACUGCAUACACCCCCACAAAAGACAAUUCACAACUCUACUCUGCCAAUAGUCCUUCCAAACAAAAUGCAUACUUUCACUACUGUCUUUACACAUUUAAAGGUACUACAAACAAGGGAUAAACAACAAAUCUACAGUAUCAAAAGCUUUGUCAUCAUGUUAGAUUAUCAUUAGCCCCUAAGCUUACACGGUAUAUUAAGCUGUGUAACAACUAAUGGUGUUUAAGCUCUGUGAAGACCCACUUUAAUUACCAUUAAAUUCAUUCCCUUGUGUGGUUUCUACCAAUAAUUGGCUGUGACUUGAAGAGGAUAGAAAGUUGAUAUUUACUGAAAGAAGUAGCAGUUGCAAGCAUUAGGUGGUGGGUUUUUAAGUGCCAAAAGAAAUGAAAAAGAGAGGUCGAGGAUCCCACUGCUAUGGUGCAUUAAUUUACUGAAGGGAAAGCAGAGUGAAAGCUCUCCGUCAAAGGUUCCACAGUUGAGUAAAUGUUUGAAAGCUCUCCUUCGAAGGUUCCACAACUGUCUAGUAAAUGCUUCAAUGCCCCCCAAAUUAAAAGAUACCGCCAUCAUGUCUUUUUUGCUUUUCUACAUAAUGCAUACAUUUAUUGCAUGCUUCUGAAUAAAAAUGCAUGUAAAUAUAAGGGUAGAACUUAGAAGUUAGAAUAAGUUCUUGUUCAAUGUGGCUGAAUGUUGUUCAUAAUUGAAUUUUUGUAUUUUAUUUGUUACUUACCUGCAUGGGGUGUAUGGAUAGGGGAGUUUGGUGACAUUGGCAUGAAGGGCCUUCUGAACAUCCUCCCUGUUGAAAUAUUUCUCAGCAUAAUCUUCUGUACAUGGAUCGUAUCCCGAUGGUAGCUGAUGCCAGAGGUCCUGAAAUCAAGAAAUUAACAAUAUAUAUAUUUAAAUUACAUAUUCAAUUGGACUUCAAUUCUUGUAUUAAUGCUGCAUGCACCAUCUUACCCGUCUUGUUUUCUUUCAUUCAAUGCAGAAAGCUAAGCUUCUUAUAGGGCAUAGCAUCUUGCUCAUUUCCCAUUAAUUUCAUUAGUUUUCCUCUUGAAAAUGAAGAAUAAUCUUUUGUUUGUGAAACCCUUUAGGCAGAAGGCUCUAUAAUCCUAGAAAUUUUUUCAUAACACAGGAGAGGAGAUUGGAGACAAGUCAACUUACAUGUUGUGUGAAGAGUCUUGGUGCAGUGACAAAUUUUCGGUAGGUUUCUUUGGAAGAACUGAGGCAUACAGGUGUGUAAAUGCUAUACAUGUCGAUAUCGGAAUAAGCCUCUAAGAGGCCCUUGAUAUGGUUACUGCAGAGGUUUGUAGGGUUGUCCCUUAUGAAGUCGCAUUCCUUGAUUAUGCCAUGGUAGAGUUGGUCUGAUAUGAUUGCAUGACUCCAUGCGAACUCAAUGAGGCCCAUAUCGUCUGUUUCAUCAUUGAUUACUGCAUUCCCAAUCUAAUUAUCAAUCACAACCUUAAGUAAAUAGCAAUACUUAAUAAAAAUAUGAGAGUCUCAUGAUCAUGAUCAUGAUCUUGAUAAGGGAGUGUGUAUCAAUUUAGUUGGUAGAUGAGGCAUAUAUACCAUGAAACCCUUGAGAUUAAUGUAAGAGUCUUUGGUGCUUUUUCUGUUCCUUUCAUAAAUGAGCUCAGCAAGCUGAGGAACAUAGUGGCCUUUACAGAAAGAGAGAAAGAGGUCAGUUUGGCUACAAAGAAUUAGGAAGAGAAAAAUAGGAAGAAAAAGGAGUGAUAGAUACCAGCAUAGCUCUCUCCAGUGAUGUAGAAAUCAUGGGAUUUGAAGCUAGGGAACCUCUUGAACCAUUGGACUAAGAAUGCAUGAGAAUCCUCAGCUGUGAUUCGAUCACCAAGCUUAAGCAAAUCCGUCGAUUUGUUCGUAUAUGAAAACCCUACUCCCACAGGUGCCUCCAGGAACAGAAUGUUUGCAACUGGAUGAUAUUGUAGUUAGAAAAUGAAGGUGAUCAGUACAAUUACACACAGAAAUUGUUAUAGGUCAUUGACUUCUUUUUUCAUUUGAUCUAAAAGCUAAUUCAAAUUAUUGAUUAGAACAACAGAAUGGACCACCUUGAAGUGGUAGGCUACCUAUAACCUACCCCUAACUCUACACCAAAACCUCUUUCUCCAGGGCUCGUGGCUAACCCAGAAGGAAAAUUUAUUGAAAUGAUUACCUUUGUUCCAGGAAAAAUCAUUAAGAAUAAGCUGAGUUCCAUUGCUCCUAACAAGAAACGGACCGAGUUCUUGUGCAGCUCCAUAAGCUAUGGAUGAGCAUCCAGGUCCUGCAAUAAGAAGAACAUUCUCUGAUAGGUAGAAAUAAGGUAAUGGAUAGUGAGUUUUGAUUGAGUUGUUGCAGCAAGCUUAGAUAUAUCAUGAGUUUUGCUUGAAUUUGUUUUCCUUUUAAGUGAGAGAUUUUUAUUAUCUUUCAGAGUUUCCAAGACGUUUCUGUUCCAAACCAGCCAAAUUUUCUCGGAUUCUGAAAGAAAAAGAUGAUUUGCAAAUUUGUAUUUACUCUCAGUUGAAAUCCAACAGGAAGAGAAAGAGACCCACAUGAAAAAAAGAAAAAGAAAAAAGGCAGACAACAACAUCACCAACCCCGUUUUUACCUCAAAAAUGGAGAAAACCCCACUUGCCCAUGAAAUUUCCUAUCUUAUCCCUGCAACCAAAUAACCCCCAUUUCUCCUUUUUAAGCAUGAGGAGAAAGGACCCACAUUCCAUAAUCAACAACCCAGUGAGACCAGCAGUGUGCAAAACAAAAAUUUUCUCACAUUUUCCCAGGAAAAUAAUGGUAAGGCUUGGUGGUGGGUCCCACCUAGUUUGGGUGCACGCCUAAGGCCUGAACAUAGACUACACAGUGAGGUGGGCCUUCUCAGAAGGACAAAAGAGAAGGAAGGGGAUAACAUUGAGAAGAAAGUCCUACGCAAACACAUGAAAAAGGGGUUGACAGAAAAGAAAAGGGCAAAAAAAAAGGCAAGAUGAAGUGCAACGGAUCAAGUGGCUGACACCCCUCUGCAACGAUCCAUACCUUGGCCUUCUGAUCCAACGGCUAUUAUUCCAUAUCUCCAAUCCAGUCAAACCCAAAAAUAAAAAAUAAAAAAAUAAAAAACACACCAUACCUCCCAACGACAUGGUGGGGACUGAUUAAUUUGAAAAAAAAUUCAAAUACGUUAGAACUGGUUUUUUAAAAUAAAAUAUUCACAAAAAAUAAUAAUUAUAAAUAUAAUUUGAAUUUUUAAAAAUUCAUCUCCUCAGCAUCAAAAAAUAAAAUCUCAAAAGAAAUUAUGAAUGAGAUGUUGGAAAAGGUGAGAAUCACAGUCAUGGAAGCCGUUAAAGAUACAACAGACAGGGAAUAUUCUCUGCCGUAAAAAAUAAAUAAACAAAGUGGUUUCUUUGGGCUGUACGUACUCUCUGGAAACACCUAAAUUUGUGAAAAAAAUGAUCAUAAAUACAAACUCUAUUGAUUUGAUAGUAGAAUAAUUGUAUAUAAAAUAAAAAUAUCAUAAUUAAUUAUUCUUAAUUUCAUAAAAUAAUAAAAGCAAACAAGAAAAAAAAAAUCAGUUAAUUUAUGUUUUCUUCUUUCUUCGUAUGCAAAAAUAGCAAAAUUCCUUCUUCCUUUUUUUUUUUUUUUCAGCAUCGAGCUUCAAUUCACUUUUUUCUUCGGUUAUUUUCUACCUUUCCCUCUAGUUUCCUUUCAUCCAAACAGAAUCUUUAAAAUCUGGCAUUUUUCUUCGAAAUUAUAACAGAGGCGUGUGUAUCAGUGAUGGAAAAAGACCAACAGAAAAGUUGUCGUGAAAAUGAAGCAGUAAAUCUGAGAAAAUGGAUAAAUCGAGAGAGGAGGAAGAGAGAAGCGAGAAGAGAGACCUCCAUUGAGCCAAAGCACAAGAGGCUUUUCAAGAACACCGCCUUGGGCUUCAAAGAACCAGUAGAAGAGUGCCUUCUCGUCUUGUGGCCGGAGUUUCACGUACCCUGCGUAGUGCCGGAACUCCACCGCCGGCUGUCCCGGCAAAUCCUUAACUCUGUCUUUCUCUUGCUGUAAUUCCUCCGCUCCGGCCACCGAGGCCGCCGCCGCCGCCGCCAUCGCCUGUAGAACCAGGCAGAAGAUCAGCAAGUUGCAGAGAGAAGACGCCAUUGAAACCAUUCUCUGUACUCGCAGCACUUCUCUCUUUCUACUUUCUAGACGAACAGCAGAGAGAGA